rnacentral:rRNA from 1 species
GAUCAUGGCUCAGGACGAACGCUGGCGGCGUGCUUAACACAUGCAAGUCGAGGGGCAGCAUGGUCUUAGCUUGCUAAGGCCGAUGGCGACCGGCGCACGGGUGAGUAACACGUAUCCAACCUGCCGUCUACUCUUGGACAGCCUUCUGAAAGGAAGAUUAAUACAAGAUGGCAUCAUGAGUCCGCAUGUUCACAUGAUUAAAGGUAUUCCGGUAGACGAUGGGG